rnacentral:rRNA from 1 species
UCCUACGGGAGGCAGCAGUGGGGAAUAUUGCACAAUGGGCGCAAGCCUGAUGCAGCCAUGCCGCGUGUAUGAAGAAGGCCUUCGGGUUGUAAAGUACUUUCAGCGAGGAGGAAGGUGUUGUGGUUAAUAACCGCAGCGAUUGACGUUACUCGCAGAAGAAGCACCGGCUAACUCCGUGCCAGCAGCCGCGGUAAU